AGAACCAAGAAGUUUGAAAAAAAUAGACAGUUCACAGAACAUGAGUUAUCAAGCUAGCCAGGCCAAGGGCCAAGCCCAGGUGAGCUUAAUUGGCUUUCUCUAUCUUCUUUAUUUUCCAAUUAUGUACUUCUCAACAUCCAUGGCACAUAUUAAUUGAUGCACAUAAUUAACUAGUUAGUUUAAUUAGUCAAAACUCUUUCACCUCGUUAGGAGAUUAAGAGCACAAAAAAAGAAAAAAAGAAGAUUGAUGUGUAGAUGUUUGUUAUAUUUGUUUCAGCAAAAGGGCAACCAGAUGAUGGAAAAGGCCAGCAAUGCUGCCCAAUCUGCCAAGGAAAGCCUGCAAGAGGAUAUCAACACUUGACAGUGUUAAUUAUGAUCAAGAUAAUAACAUUAAAAUUUCUGAAGCAUUUUCUCAAUGCAAAGUUUCUCUUUACUGAAAUGUGCAGCUGAAGUUUAAAAAGAAAAAAAAAAAAAUCUAUCUUCUUUUAAAAAAGCAAAGUUUGUGAAGAAAGGUGGAAUGUCUAAUGAUUCAUUGUGAUAGAUAGUUCUUGUUCAUCCAUUGGAGAUAUGAUUUCUAAUGCAUAAUAGUCAUAAGGUAUGAUUUCUAAUGCAUAAUACUCUGUUGGGUCAUUCGCUUUUUGCUCUAAUUCUAGCUUUCCAUUAAUGGCUUUUAUCAAUAUUUUUGGUUUCUAUUUCUCUUCUUCUACUUUGAGUUCACUCUGUUUCUUUGGCCCCCCAUGAAUUGUUGGUUUGGGAAGUUGUUAUGGCUUUUCUAUUUGGAUUCUUAUAAUAAAGGAUUUGUUUGUUUGUUUGCUUGUACUUUGUCAUGUAUUGUUACUUUCAAACUGCAUUUAGUAGUUUAAAUUCUGUGAGAUGGAAAAUCUAUGCCAGAAAAGUGAAAUAGAGUUGUAGUUGCAAGAGUGAUGAAGCAUUAAUUAUGUUGUCAUUGUAUUUCUUUGUAUGAAGAUAUGAUAUUAAUUAUGUUGCUUUCUUGUUUCUUUCUAUGAUAGUGGAUUGGAAUUGGGCCCUCACAAAAUGAUGGUGGGAACUGCUAUUAGUGGGGAUCGCAUGAUGGAUUACAUAAACCUAGAUGACAGAUCAAUUGGUAUGUUCUGGGUUGUGUCUUACACCAUGGCACAACCUGCUUGUGAAACAGUGAUGAAUUGGUUGACCUCUACUGGAGUUCAAGAGUUGUUACCUGGAUCAAACUUAUAGUCAACUAAGAGGCUAAUGGUGAUGCGGGAAGUUAGCCCAUUGCCAAUUUCAUUGUUAUCAGGCUUUUCAAUCAACUUGUGUCUAAAGCUAGCUUAUCAGAUGGAAGAAUCUAUGUUUUUGGGACAGGUGCUAGAUAUCUUCUAGUUUAUUAGCUUGCUUGUGGUUGACUUAGUAUCUGGUGAUAGGAACUUAUAUUAUAUUUAUUUCUAUAUAAAUCUGUAGAUUGUAUUUGUGGAUAAACAAAGUGUUUAUGUUUUGCAAAUUCACAUGCAUCCCAAACAAAACUGUUCCUAUGGCAAUGUUUAACUGAGUUAGGAAAUAGCUUCUCUAAAACACCAAAGGAAGGGCAGCCCAAACACCGAUGCCACUCGUGUAAUUGACGUAAUGUUGAACUAGUUUCUGAACAAAAUAGAGUCACUGAACGUAAGAAUCAUUAUCUUCUUGAGUUAGCUCGAUUUCUCUUGUUUACCCUGAAUAUCCCUAAAUCCUUUUGGAGUGAGACAUUUCUUACUUUUUCCUAUCUUAUUAAUCAUAUGCAUCCAGUACUGGUUAGGUAAAUGU